rnacentral:rRNA from 1 species
UACGUAGGGUGCGAGCGUUAAUCGGAAUUACUGGGCGUAAAGCGUGCGCAGGCGGUUUUCCAAGACAGAUGUGAAAUCCCCGGGCUCAACCUGGGAAUGGCAUUUGUGACUGGAAGGCUAGAGUGUGUCAGAGGGGGGUAGAAUUCCACGUGUAGCAGUGAAAUGCGUAGAGAUGUGGAGGAAUACCGAUGGCGAAGGCAGCGCCCUGGGAUAACACUGACGCUCAUGCACGAAAGCGUGGGGAGCAAACAGG